rnacentral:lncRNA from 1 species
UGAUAUCAUUAGAAAGUGAAAUGUUGAGGCAGAGAAGGAGAUAUCUACCAUAACUUUUAUGAUAAGACUAUCAUUACAUCGUAAAUUGCUUGUAGCAGCCGCAGCCUCUGCUCCCUUACUCAUAUCUUUCAACCAAAGUAUAUGCUUAAAGUCAUUCAAGCCUUCCUACAAAGUAUAUGCUUCUUAAAAGCUUAGUUCAUUCUAUGGGUUGAUUUGUCCAACCUCAUUGUUCAAAUAAUAUGUAUCCGACAAUAUAAUCAUGGGAUCUCGUCAAAUUCGAACGACAUGCUUUUUGACUUGUGCUAACUUUUUCUCUCUUUUUUGUUUCUUUUCUUAGUUCAAUAAUCUUAUCAAGAAUCACGGUCUUCGAUCUUUUUUC